GGGGAUGUGGUGAAAUUGGUAUCACAGCAGUCUCCAAAACUGCCUUUUCAGGUUCAAGUCCUGACAUCCCUG
rnacentral:tRNA from 1 species